rnacentral:lncRNA from 1 species
ACUUUUCUUUGAUGAUAUCUUCCACAUUAUUUGUUCUGUGUACAUGGAAGACAGGGUGUGAAAUCUAAUCUAGUGGCCAACUGGCCAACUGACUCAUUCCAAGCGAGCUCAUUGCCUGCCCAGUGCAGUGUAGUUCUAGGCUCCCAGGAAACGGAGCGGUAAGACACAGUCUCUAGGCAGAUGGAAUCCCUGGGAACAAAGAGAUUAUACGAAAGUAAAUAAACAAAUACAAUAAUCAAGGUGAUUUCAGAUAAGGAUAGAUACCUUCAAGAAGAAAAUAACACGUCAUGGUGCUCAAGAGAUUACUGACAAUGGGGCAGAACAUUUCUGAGACCCCGUCCUGUUCCACCAGGUUUUUUAUUAAGUGUCUAUUGUGUUAAGUGCUUGGAACACCAAGGAGUGACACAUCGCACCCGCUGUCCGGCAGCGACAGCAGAUAGGAAAUCAGAUUCCAAGUGGGUUGACCUGUAACCCGUGUGAAUUAUCAGGGAGCACUUCCCUCCGGGGAUAACAAUGGCAUUAAAAUGUUGGUGACACCAAGAGUCCAUCUAGCUCAAGUGCUGGGAGGGAAACAUGGCCCCUACUGGCUUUGAUUAUGAUAAUGGCUUGGUUGGAAACUGCUCCACCUGCAGAAAUCUCUGCUCCCUGGAUUAGGACAUUAAGCCUGGGCUGGGGUGUAGGUCAGUGGUAGAAUGCUUGACUAGCAUGCAUGAAGCCCUGGGUUUGAUCCCUAGCACCGCCCAAAAAACCCUUUAAACCCGUGUUUGCUCAUUACGCAAGCAUCGCAAACCUGCUUCUCCCAGAGACAUCUCAGACACGCUGAGCUGGUGUGGCCUAAAAAGCAAGCUGGUGUUAUAUUCGGGAAAUCUAACUUGUGAGUGAGUCAGCCUCACUCACGAAGAGGGGACCCGGAGGACUCGCUGCUUCCAGUCGAGCACCAGCGAUGGACAUGAAAAGGUCAACUCCAUGGGCUUUGGCGAGUUGAUGGGUGCGUUUGGGAACGUCACUGAGAGAUGUCCACGGACUGCAGCCGCUGUCUGAUCCCAGCGCCCGUUCUCGGACUUGGAAGAUUUGGAGAAGCACUUUUUUGCCUUUAUUGACGCUCUCCCUCGGUCAGGAAGUCUUCAGGCCCUCGCGUCCGGCCCCUUUCAACAUCAAAGCCCCCCUGACAGCAAAGGACUUUGAAAAGAUACGAAAAGUUCAGGCUCCUUAUCGCGUCCUUGCUCACUGCCGUGCAGGUCGUAAAUUCCGAGCCUCCGCGGCCUCCCUCUCUCCCCUCCGUUCUGCUAGGCUCCAGGUCUCAAAGGACAAGCCUGUCACUCCUUGUCCCGCCCCCGGACCCGAUAUGGGCUGAAUGGAGCUGGGGACCGAGGGGCGCAAGAUCUGGGACUUGGAGAGGCGCGGGGCG